rnacentral:snoRNA from 1 species
AACCUUGAUUUUAGUCUAAUGAUGAAUUUCAUAGGGCAGAUUCUGGGAUGAAAAUUUAAUUCAUCACUGAUAUUCCUACUAUUGGCACCACGGGAGCCUCUAGCGU